rnacentral:rRNA from 1 species
UGGGAACGUGCCCAAAGGUACGGAACAACUCCGGGAAACUGGAGCUAAUACCGUAUGUGCCCGAAAGGGGAAAGAUUCAUCGCCUUUGGAUCGGCCCGCGUCUGAUUAGCUAGUUGGCGGGGUAAUGGCCCACCAAGGCGACGAUCUUUAGCUGGUUUGAGAGAAUGAUCAGCCACACUGGAACUGAGACACGGUCCAGGCUCCUACGGGAGGCAG